CCUACGGGAGGCAGCAGUGGGGAAUAUUGGGCAAUGGAGGAAACUCUGACGCAGCAACGCCGCGUGAAUGAUGAAGGUCUUCGGAUUGUAAAGUUCUUUUCUAAGGGAAGAAGAAAGUGACGGUACCUUAGGAAUAAGCCUCGGCUAACUACGUGCCAGCAGCCGCGGUAAUACGUAGGAGGCGAGCGUUAUCCGGAAUGACUGGGCGUAAAGGGUGCGUAGGUGGUUUGGUAAGUUAGUAGCGUAACUCCUGGGCUCAACCUUAGAACUGCUACUAAAACUGUUGGACUUGAGUGCAGGAGGGGCAACCGGAAUUCCUAGUGUAGCGGUGGAAUGCGUAGAUAUUAGGAGGAACACCAGUGGCGAAGGCGGGUUGCUAGACUGUAACUGACACUGAGGCACGAAAGCGUGGGGAGCAAACAGGAUUAGAUACCCCUGUAGUC
rnacentral:rRNA from 1 species